GACGAACGCUGGCGGCGUGCUUAACGCAUGCAAGUCGAACGAGGUCCAUCCAGCUUGCUGGUGAAGACCGAGUGGCGAACGGGUGAGUAACACGUGAGGAACCCACCCCGGAGACCGGGAUAACCCUCCGAAAGGAGAGCUAAUACCGGAUGCCCUCAUCGGAUCGCAUGUUCUGAUGAGGAAAUGGAUUCCGCUCCGGGACGGCCUCGCGGCCUAUCAGCUUGUUGGUGGGGUAACGGCCCACCAAGGCGUCGACGGGUAGCUGGUCUGAGAGGACGGUCAGCCACACUGGGACUGAGACACGGCCCAGACUCCUACGGGAGGCAGCAGCGGGGAAUAUUGCGCAAUGGGCGAAAGCCUGACGCAGCAACGCCGCGUGAGGGAUGAAGGCUUUCGGGUUGUAAACCUCUCUCAGCAGGGACGAUUGUGACGGUACCUGCAGAAGAAGCCCCGGCCAACUACGUGCCAGCAGCCGCCGUAACAC
rnacentral:rRNA from 1 species